AACGCUAGCUACAGGCUUAACACAUGCAAGUCGAGGGGCAGCAUGAACUUAGCUUGCUAAGUUUGAUGGCGACCGGCGCACGGGUGAGUAACACGUAUCCAACCUGCCGAUGACUCGGGGAUAGCCUUUCGAAAGAAAGAUUAAUACCCGAUGGCAUAGUUCUUCCGCAUGGUGGAACUAUUAAAGAAUUUCGGUCAUCGAUGGGGAUGCGUUCCAUUAGGUUGUUGGCGGGGUAACGGCCCACCAAGCCUUCGAUGGAUAGGGGUUCUGAGAGGAAGGUCCCCCACAUUGGAACUGAGACACGGUCCAAACUCCUACGGGAGGCAGCAGUGAGGAAUAUUGGUCAAUGGACGAGAGUCUGAACCAGCCAAGUAGCGUGAAGGAUGACUGCCCCUAUGGGUUGUAAACUUCUUUUAUACGGGAAUAAAGUGAGGCACGUGUGCCUUUUUGUAUGUACCGUAUGAAUAAGGAUCGGCUAACUCCGUGCCAGCAGCCGCGGUAAUACGGAGGAUCCGAGCGUUAUCCGGAUUUAUUGGGUUUAAAGGGAGCGUAGGCGGACGCUUAAGUCAGUUGUGAAAGUUUGCGGCUCAACCGUAAAAUUGCAGUUGAUACUGGGUGUCUUGAGUACAGUAGAGGCAGGCGGAAUUCGUGGUGUAGCGGUGAAAUGCUUAGAUAUCACGAAGAACUCCGAUUG
rnacentral:rRNA from 1 species